ACCUCCCACCCGUGUUUAUUUUACCUUGUUGCUUCGGCGGGCCCGCCUUAACUGGCCGCCGGGGGGCUUACGUCCCCGGGCCCGCGCCCGCCGAAGACACCCUCGAACUCUGUCUGAAGAUUGUAGUCUGAGUGAAAAUAUAAAUUAUUUAAAACUUUCAACAACGGAUCUCUUGGUUCCGGCAUCGAUGAAGAACGCAGCGAAAUGCGAUACGUAAUGUGAAUUGCAAAUUCAGUGAAUCAUCGAGUCUUUGAACGCACAUUGCGCCCCCUGGUAUUCCGGGGGGCAUGCCUGUCCGAGCGUCAUUGCUGCCCUCAAGCACGGCUUGUGUGUUGGGCCCCGUCCUCCGAUCCCGGGGGACGGGCCCGAAAGGCAGCGGCGGCACCGCGUCCGGUCCUCGAGCGUAUGGGGCUUUGUCACCCGCUCUGUAGGCCCGGCCGGCGCUUGCCGAUCAACCCAAAUUUUUAUCCAGGUUGACCUCGGAUCAGGUAGGGAUACCCGCUGAACUUAAGCAUAUCA
rnacentral:rRNA from 1 species